GACGAACGCUGGCGGCGUGCCUAAUACAUGCAAGUCGAGCGGAAUGAUGAAGAAGCUUGCUUCUUCUGAUUUUAGCGGCGGACGGGUGAGUAACACGUGGGCAACCUACCUUGUAGAUUGGGAUAACUCCGGGAAACCGGGGCUAAUACCGAAUAAUCCAUUUUGCUUCAUGGCGAGAUGUUGAAAGACGGUUUCGGCUGUCACUACAAGAUGGGCCCGCGGCGCAUUAGCUAGUUGGUAGGGUAAUGGCCUACCAAGGCGACGAUGCGUAGCCGACCUGAGAGGGUGAUCGGCCACACUGGGACUGAGACACGGCCCAGACUCCUACGGGAGGCAGCAGUAGGAAUCUUCCACAAUGGACGAAAGUCUGAUGGAGCAACGCCGCGUGAGUGAAGAAGGUUUUCGGAUCGUAAAACUCUGUUGUAAGGGAAGAACACGUACGAGAGUAACUGCUCGUACCUUGACGGUACCUUAUUAGAAAGCCACGGCUAACUACGUG
rnacentral:rRNA from 1 species